CUUGAGCGACAACAGACAUGCGAAAAUUUCUCUGAACAGAUUAAGCUAAUUUGAAGUGAAUUACAAGUGAAUUUAGGAUACAAUUGCAGAUAUUUUAUUGAGGAGUGACAGUAACUGGAAAAGAAACAGAUUUAUAAAGAAAUGACGAAGAUUUGCAACGUUCUUCUAUCGCCCUGGGCGACAACCGCGUGAAAGAAAAUUUUCUGCAUUCGCCAUUAAGAUCGUUGAAAACCGAACUUUGAACAACUUUGAACAUAUUUCCCUUGGCCGGUUUUUUUUUUUGGUGUGUUUUUUUUUUUUGUUGGAUUUGAACUGCUGUGCUGGAUCCUGGAUUCGUCCGCCCCUGCUUGCCUUCCCUGGAGAGCUACAGCGGCGCGCGGACUGGCGAGCCACCCAUGUGAUCGACCUGCAAUUUUAAAGAGAAGGAAAGAGUUCAAUUGUGCCUUCUGCAAUGGUCGUCGGACAAGUGUUUGAAUUCUACAAACUGGAACUCAAGCAACAAGUGGUCCAACAACCACACAGACUAAACUGAUUUGCAGUUAGUGUUUUAGAAAAGUGGUUUGGUGUUAUAGUGUGAUAAGUUUCCUUUGCAUAGGUACUUUCAAUAGUACUACAUAAGGGUUUUUGGUUUCAAAAUAAAACUAUUGGUUUCAAAAUAAAAGUCCUGGUUCCAAAAUAAAAGUCCUAAAGUCUAAUUAGUGACAAAUUAUACUAGAACCAAAUAACUAAUAAUAGGGAUUAACCAAAACACAUCAAAGAAAUACUAAAAGUAUGGUUAAGGUAUAAAAAUGGGAAAAUAGUCAAAAAUUAGUGGAACCAGAGAAAA